rnacentral:SRP_RNA from 1 species
GUCUGGGUCUUGCGCAAUGGAGUCUUGUGAACCCCGUCAGGUCCGGAAGGAAGCAGCGGUAAGCGAAUCGCUUCAUGUGCCGCGAGGGUGCCUGGGGGCU